GAAAUCCCGGUGUAGUGGUGAAAUGCGUAGAGAUCGGGAGGACAUCAGUGGCGAGGCGACGUCCUGGCCCGCACCUGACGCUCAGACGCGAAAGCGUGGGUAGCGAACGGGAUUAGAUACCCCGGUAGUCACGCUGUAAAGGUGGAUAUUAGUGUUGUGGCUAUCGUCAUCAGUGCCGUAGCUAACGCGUUAAGUAUCCCGCCUGGGGACUACGGCCGCAAGCUAAAACUAAAGGAAAUGACGAAGCCCGCACAAGAAGCGGAGCGUGUGGUUUAAUUCGAGGCUACACGAAGAACCUUACCUGGACUUGACAUACACGUAAUAGUGAAGCGAGAGCGGAACGACCCAUCGAGAGCGUGAACAGGUGCUGCAGGCUGUCGUCAGCUCGUGCCGUGAGGUGUUGGGUUAAUCCCGCAACGAGCGCAACCCCUGCCGUUAGUUACAAGUGUCUAACGGGACUGCUGGUUUAAUGCCGGAGGAAGGUGAGAUGACGUCAAUCCGCAUGGCCUUUAUGUCCAGGGCUACACCACGCUACAUGGCCGAUACAAUAGUAGCAAGCCGCGAGGGGGAGUUAAUCCUCUAAAUUCGGCCUCAGUUCGGAUUGCAGGCUGCAACCCGCCUGCAGGAAGUGGGAGUUGCUAGUAACCGCGCGUCAGCCAUAGUGCGGUGAAUACGUUCCCGGGCCUUGUACACACCGCC
rnacentral:rRNA from 1 species